CUGGCUCGACACCAUCGAAGCAGUCGAUAGAUGUGUUUGGCAUCAUUCAAAUGAUGGUGAAAAGCACGCGUCGUCGAAGUUCAGGGAAGCAGAGCAUUCAUUUUAUGCUGCUUUCCAUAUUGAAAAACAUGUUUCUAUCACGAAGCAGAUCGCGCGGUGGCGACGAGACUUCGCGACAUUGCGCGGCCGAGAGCCAACGUAUGAUGAUGAGCCUGAGAAGAUACGAAGAUUGGAGCGUGCUCUAGUAAAUUUAGGACAACGGUGCGUCCCUGUCUCGACAAUUUCUUUUCUUGUUUUGUUUUGAAGGAGAUCAAAUAUUUCAGGAUAGCUGAACUGAAGUAAAAUAAAGUUAAUAUCAUCCGCGCAAGGUGCCUCCAUAGCUAGUGACUGACUGAACAGGAAUGUUUGGUUCGCGGGAGGCUGGUUUGGGACGAGUCUCGAGUUUUCAUCGAUGAGCUUCGGUGAAAGAAGGACUAAGAGGGCUACUCACCCAUAGUUUGAAGAUUUUUCAUCCAUACACCGGUCAACUUCGACGUCUACCACCGCGUCUUCAGAACACGCCUUAGCGUAGAUUCUUCGUUCACAAGUGGCGUGCGUGUGAGGACAACGACUACGUGCACGCCAAGCGCAACGAUAAAGACGUCCCGCAGAGCAGUCGUCGUUUUAGGAACGGGAAGGCGUCGCACAGUUUUGUUAGUCA
rnacentral:lncRNA from 1 species